ACUCAUCUUUGAUAAAAUCUGAAAUUGCAUAAAUGUUGUUACGUAUUAAUGUUCAAAGAAUGAAAAGUGAUUAUAAAUAUUGUACUUUCAACUCGCACGUUUUUCAACUUCCAGCCCAAAACCCAUCCAAAUUCCACUAGAUGUCCACCACCACCUCAACCACCGCAACCACCACCUCUUCCAAUCUACCACUUCUAAUCCCAGCACUUCCAGACGAUAUCAGCCUAAACAUUUUAGCCAGAAUCCCUCGUUCUCACCACCCACUUCUUUCUUUAGUCUCCAAAUCUUUCCACUCUCUCUUCUCUUCUCCUCUCUUUUACGCAACUCGUUCACUCCUCAACUUUUCUCAACCCUUUCUCUAUCUUUCAAUCCGCUUCGCUAUCACAAGCUCCCUGCGUUGGUUCACACUUUACCAGAACUCCCCUAACCCAAAAAACCCUCCAAAUUUCCUAGUCCAACUCCUACCAACCCCUUCUCCUUUAGUUGGGUCUGCCACUGUUUCUCUUGGGCACAAAAUCUAUGUUAUUGGUGGGUGUCUCAAUGACAUACCUUCUUCACACGUAUGGACACUGGACUGCAGGUUCCACAUGUGGGAACUCAGUCCCAAGAUGAGUAUUUCUAGAGAGUUUGCUGCUGCUGGUGUUGUGAAUGAUAAAAUUUAUGUGAUUGGUGGGUGCGUUGUUGAUACUUUCGCCCGAUCCAAGUACUGGGCGGAGGUUUUUGACCCAAAUAUUGAAACUUGGGAAGCAAUUGAUAGUGUAAGAGAGCAUCUAUUGCGUGAGAAGUGGAUGCAUGCGAGUGCUGUUAUUAAUGAGAAAGUUUAUGAAAUGGCUGAUAGGAAUGGGGUUGUUUAUGAUCCUAGGAAUAGGAAAUGGGAGAGUGUAGGGGUUGAAUUGGAUUCUGGGUGGAGAGGGAGAGCGUGUGUGGUUGAUGGGAUCUUGUUUAAUUAUGAUUUCUUGGGAAAGAUCAAGGGUUUUGAUGUGGAGAAGGAUUCUUGGAAGGAAUUGAGAGGUGUCGAAAAGGAAUUACCGACGUUUUUGGCUGGGGCAACUAUGGCUAAUGUUGGAGGGAAAUUGGUUGUGGUUUGGGAGAAGAAAGGGAAUGGGAAGGAACUCGAGAUUUGGUGCGCCGAAAUUGAGGUGGAGAAGAAGGGCGAGGAUCAGGAAAUAUGGGGGAAGAUUAAAUGGUGUGAUGUUAUUCAUAAGGUCCCUAUUGGAUCAUCAAUCGUUCAUUGCUUGGCUGUUACAUUGUGAUCAUACGCUGAAUAAUGUCAUGUAUGUUCUGUUUUGAAUUGCUUAUUGUUUGAAUGUAAUAUAUUGAAAUGUGCUAAUUUUUUAGUGAGGAACUUUUUGGAAAGGUCCCUAUUGGAUCAUCAAUCGUUCAUUGCUUGGCUGUUACAUUGUGAUCAUACGCUGAAUAAUGCCAUGUUAAACUUGCCUUCCAUUCUGUUGGAUGAUCUGGUGAUCCAGUCUCAACUACGGAGCCAUGAAAGAAAUUCCUGCAUAUUCUAGUCCUGAGCUAGUAUGCUACCAGGAAGCUACAGUGAGCAAAUGUAGGUUCUAAAAUUUACACCUCCAUAUUCUGCGCAGUUAACUUUGCAUCAAUUUAAGUUUGCAAAUAAAAGGAAUUACUCGAAUAAUGGACCCCUUGUAUGUAUAUCACCCAAUGUAAGUGGUUUGUAAUUUGUGCAAGGUGUUAAAGGCAAAUAAGCUGUUGCAAGUGUGUAUAAAGAAUUCUCAUUGUCAGAAACAUAUGGUUUAUUGAAUGAUUGCUUGUUAAUAAGACAAAAGAAAGGGUAUUUUACAGUAUCAA